rnacentral:tRNA from 1 species
GCCUUCAUGGUGUAAUGGUCAGCACACUCGACGCGUAGUCGAGAGGUCCGGGGUUCGAGUCUCGGCCAGGGCU